AUCCAGUUAACGAGUUCUAAAUAGGACGAAACGCGCGUCAAACUGGAU
rfam:Schistosoma curassoni strain Dakar, Senegal genome assembly, scaffold: SCTD_scaffold0000646